UUCACUGCGUUAUUGGAAGAAAACGUUCCGCACAAUAAAUUUUCUUAUGAUUGGUAACGUUUGCGUAAUUCCACUCGAAACAGUGUAAUUACGUCUCGCACCGCGGUUGUCAAUCACAAAAUAUAUAUCUUAUAUAUUAGUGGAAUCUUUCUACUAGUUUAGUAUUUACUCCAUAAAUAUGUCGAUUUUCGUUCAAAUUUAUAGAAACUGCAUACUCAAUUUCUUAAUUAAUAUUUUUUUAUUGUAAAAAUGUUGGAUUGAAACCUUUAAUUCGUUUGGGUCAUGAAUAAUAGUCAGUUGUUUAAUCUCUUUUCCGUAGCUGUUAAAAUUUGAACAUGACAUAUUAAAGGAUACAGACUUUAUCACUAUAGAUAGCAAUUCCGUAUGAUUAAUUAUGAUUUUAAAAAACUUUUUUAUAUUUUUUAAUAAUAAUUUCGCCAUUCAUCGUGAAAUUGUUCAUGAUAUUGUAUAUACUAUAGUUAAUUUAUCAUCAUUCAUAAUAGAAGCUAUAUAACGAUGUAUCAAGUAGACGUCAAAAAAAAAAAAAAAACGAUGUAUCAAGUGUUAACAAAAAAAAACUUAUUAGUAUUACUAUCGUCUGUAUUUACCACAACACGAAUUCAGAUAAAUCUAACAAUUAAUCUUAUAAUAUGCUACAUAAGUUAAACACCAUCACCCACUUUCAUUGGUUAAUCUUCAGCACAUGGUCCCUCGUUUAGCUAAUAGUUCCCAUCUUUUAAUGUCGAUGAUACACAUGCCCAAAAUAUAAACAUGUAUAUUAGUCGAAGAAAACUCUUGAUAUGCCACCAUAUCGUGUGAUGUACCUUAACCUGGCUCUGAUACCAUGAUAAGUUUCUUGGGCUUCCAACUUAAAACCAAUUGGCAAUUAGUGGAUUGACCCAAGUCCCUUAUAUAUUACUCAAGUCCCUUUCAUAUAUUCGAU
rnacentral:lncRNA from 1 species